rnacentral:rRNA from 1 species
UACGAAGGGGGCUAGCGUUGCUCGGAAUCACUGGGCGUAAAGGGUGCGUAGGCGGGUCUUAAGUCAGGGGUGAAAUCCUGGAGCUCAACUCCAGAACUGCCUUUGAUACUGAAGAUCUUGAGUUCGGGAAGGUGAGUGGAACUGCGAGUGUAGAGGUGAAAUUCGUAGAUAUUCGCAAGAACACCAGUGGCGAAGGCGGCUAUCUGGACC